ACAGUGGACGCGAGCAUCUGUGGCCAAGUUUUUAAGGGCGCACGGUGGAUGCCUUGGCACCAGGAACCGAUGAAGGACGUGGGAGGCCACGAUAGUCCCCGGGGAGUCGUCAACCAGGCUUUGAUCCGGGGGUUUCCGAAUGGGGAAACCCGGCAGUCGUCAUGGGCUGUCACCCGCUGCUGAACACAUAGGCAGUGUGGAGGGAACGCGGGGAAGUGAAACAUCUCAGUACCCGCAGGAAGAGAAAACAACCGUGAUUCCGGGAGUAGUGGCGAGCGAAACCGGAUGAGGCCAAACCGUAUACGUGUGAGACCCGGCAGGGGUUGCGUAUGCGGGGUUGUGGGAUCUCUCUUUCACAGUCUGCCGGCUGUGAGACGAGUCAGAAACCGUUGAUGUAGGCGAAGGACAUGCGAAAGGUCCGGCGUAGAGGGUAAGACCCCCGUAGUCGAAACAUCAGCGGCUCGUUUGAGAGACACCCAAGUAGCACGGGGCCCGAGAAAUCCCGUGUGAAUCUGGCGGGACCACCCGUUAAGCCUAAAUAUUCCCUGGUGACCGAUAGCGGAUAGUACCGUGAGGGAAUGGUGAAAAGUACCGCGGGAGCGGAGUGAAAUAGUACCUGAAACCGUGUGCCUACAAGCCGUGGGAGCGUCGGACAUCAAGCUUGCUUGGUGUCUCGUGACUGCGUGCCUUUUGAAGAAUGAGCCUGCGAGUUUGCGGUGUGUUGCGAGGUUAACCCGUGUGGGGAAGCCGUAGCGAAAGCGAGUCCGAAUAGGGCGGUUUAGUAGCGCGCUCAAGACCCGAAGCGGAGUGAUCUAGCCAUGGGCAGGUUGAAGCGGCUGUAAGAGGUCGUGGAGGACCGAACCCACCAGGGUUGAAAACCUGGGGGAUGACCUGUGGUUAGGGGUGAAAGGCCAAUCAAACUCCGUGAUAGCUGGUUCUCCCCGAAAUGCAUUUAGGUGCAGCGUCGUGUGUUUCUUGCCGGAGGUAGAGCACUGGAUAGGCGAUGGGCCCUACCGGGUUACUGACCUUAGCCAAACUCCGAAUGCCGGUAAGUGAGAGCACGGCAGUGAGACUGUGGGGGAUAAGCUCCAUGGUCGAGAGGGAAACAGCCCAGAGCAUCGACUAAGGCCCCUAAGCGUACGCUAAGUGGGAAAGGAUGUGGAGUCGCAGAGACAACCAGGAGGUUGGCUUAGAAGCAGCCACCCUUGAAAGAGUGCGUAAUAGCUCACUGGUCUAGUGAUUCCGCGCCGACAAUGUAGCGGGGCUCAAGCGUACCGCCGAAGUCGUGUCAUUCCAGCAUAUAGGGCCAACGCCUGCUGGGAUGGGUAGGGGAGCGUCGUGUGCCGGGUGAAGCUGCGCCGGAAGGCAGUGGUGGACGGUUCACGAGUGAGAAUGCAGGCAUGAGUAGCGAUACAUACGUGAGAAACGUGUGCGCCGAUUGACUAAGGGUUCCUGGGUCAAGCUGAUCUGCCCAGGGUAAGUCGGGACCUAAGGCGAGGCCGACAGGCGUAGUCGAUGGAUAACCGGUUGAUAUUCCGGUACCCGCUGUGAAGCGUCAAACAUUGAAUCAGGCGAUGCUAAGUCCGUGAAGCCGUUCCGGACCCUUCGGGGAAAGGAAAGUGGUGGAGCCGACGGACCAGACUUGUAGUAGGUGAGUGAUGGGGUGACGCAGGAAGGUAGUCCAGCCCGGGCGGUGGUUGUCCCGGGGUAAGGGUGUAGGCCGUGUGAUAGGUAAAUCCGUCGCACAUUAAGGCUGAGACCUGAUGCCGAGCCGAUUGUGGUGAAGUGGAUGAUCCUAUGCUGUCGAGAAAAGCCUCUAGCGAGUUUCAUGGCGGCCCGUACCCUAAACCGACUCAGGUGGUCAGGUAGAGAAUACCGAGGCGUUCGGGUGAACUAUGGUUAAGGAACUCGGCAAAAUGCCCCCGUAACUUCGGGAGAAGGGGGGCCAUCACUGGUGAUCGGAUUUACUCCGUGAGCUGGGGGUGGCCGCAGAGACCAGCGAGAAGCGACUGUUUACUAAAAACACAGGUCCGUGCGAAGCCGUAAGGCGAUGUAUACGGACUGACGCCUGCCCGGUGCUGGAACGUUAAGGGGACCGGUUAGUGCACUUUCGGGUGUGCGAAGCUGAGAACUUAAGCGCCAGUAAACGGCGGUGGUAACUAUAACCAUCCUAAGGUAGCGAAAUUCCUUGUCGGGUAAGUUCCGACCUGCACGAAUGGCGUAACGACUUCUCGACUGUCUCAACCAUAGGCCCGGUGAAAUUGCACUACGAGUAAAGAUGCUCGUUUCGCGCAGAAGGACGGAAAGACCCCGGGACCUUUACUACAGUUUGAUAUUGGUGUUCGGUUCGGCUUGUGUAGGAUAGGUGGGAGACUUUGAAGCGGGCACGCCAGUGUUCGUGGAGUCGCCGUUGAAAUACCACUCUGGUCGUGCUGGAUGUCUAACCUCGGUCCGUGAUCCGGAUCAGGGACAGUGUCUGAUGGGUAGUUUAACUGGGGCGGUUGCCUCCCAAAGAGUAACGGAGGCGCCCAAAGGUUCCCUCAGCCUGGUUGGUAAUCAGGUGUUGAGUGUAAGUGCACAAGGGAGCUUGACUGUGAGACCGACGGGUCGAGCAGGGACGAAAGUCGGGACUAGUGAUCCGGCGGUGGCUUGUGGAAGCGCCGUCGCUCAACGGAUAAAAGGUACCCCGGGGAUAACAGGCUGAUCUUCCCCAAGAGUCCAUAUCGACGGGAUGGUUUGGCACCUCGAUGUCGGCUCGUCGCAUCCUGGGGCUGGAGUCGGUCCCAAGGGUUGGGCUGUUCGCCCAUUAAAGCGGUACGCGAGCUGGGUUUAGAACGUCGUGAGACAGUUCGGUCCCUAUCCUCUGUGCGCGUAGGAAUAUUGAGAAGGGCUGUCCCUAGUACGAGAGGACCGGGACGGACGAACCUCUGGUGUGCCAGUUGUCCUGCCAAGGGCAUGGCUGGUUGGCUACGUUCGGAAAGGAUAACCGCUGAAAGCAUCUAAGCGGGAAGCCUGCUUCGAGAUGAGUAUUCCCACCCCCUUUGAGGGGUUAAGGCUCCCAGUAGACGACUGGGUUGAUAGGCCAGAUCUGGAAGCCCGGUAACGGGUGGAGGUGACUGGUACUAAUAGGCCGAGGGCUUGUCCUCAGUUG
rnacentral:rRNA from 1 species